AAUGAACGCUGGCGGCAUGCCUAACACAUGCAAGUCGAACGAAGGCUUCGGCCUUAGUGGCGCACGGGUGCGUAACGCGUGGGAAUCUGCCCUUGGGUUCGGAAUAACAGUUAGAAAUGACUGCUAAUACCGGAUGAUGUCGUAAGACCAAAGAUUUAUCGCCCAAGGAUGAGCCCGCGUAGGAUUAGCUAGUUGGUGGGGUAAAGGCCCACCAAGGCGACGAUCCUUAGCUGGUCUGAGAGGAUGAUCAGCCACACUGGGACUGAGACACGGCCCAGACUCCUACGGGAGGCAGCAGUGGGGAAUAUUGGACAAUGGGCGAAAGCCUGAUCCAGCAAUGCCGCGUGAGUGAUGAAGGCCUUAGGGUUGUAAAGCUCUUUUACCCGGGAUGAUAAUGACAGUACCGGGAGAAUAAGCUCG
rnacentral:rRNA from 1 species